UAAUAACAUUCGUGAAUUUUUUCGCGGAUUUGAGUUUUCCAGUAUUUUUAUUAUAAAAAAAAUGUUGGUAACUUUAAAAUUAUUUAUUACUUGGUACAAGUUGAAAACGUACUAUAUGUGUGGUUCGCUGACAACUUGUCCAUCAUCAUAUAUUAUGCACGCACUUGGUUUUUACGCUCUGUGCGAGUAUAUAUUUUUU
rnacentral:misc_RNA from 1 species